rnacentral:tRNA from 1 species
GAGGAUGUAGCUCAGUAGUAGAGCACUUGCCUUGCAUGUGUAAGGCCCUAGGUUUGUCUCCCAGCAUCACCA